ensembl:lncRNA
GUUAAAUCUGGUAGGGAAUAGUAAUAAGGGCCUGGAAAGCUGAUGUAAAAAGGGUUUUCUCUGUUUUGCUUCUUAUUAUCCUUUUGCUUCUUGUCUUUUUCAACUUCCUAUCCUGUUAGCAACACCCCAGCAGUUUCUUCACUCUGGUGGUGACAGGUUAAAGUGUCAGUAGUUGAUCCCACAGAGCUUUCCCAUGGGUUGCAUAACUAGUUUCUUUGGAUCCCUCAGACUCCAGCACCCUCCUGCUAGUACCUCUUCAGAGUUCCACAUCCUGGCCAAGUGGGGCACUUCAGCUUUGAGAAACCAACACUUUCAAGGAGUAACGUCUUCUCACAGUCAUGUAUGGAUGUGAGAGUUGGACUGUGAAGAAAGCUGAGCACUGAAGAGUUGAUGCUUUUGAACUGUGGUGUUAGAGAAGACUCUUGAGAGUCCCUUGGACUGUAAGGAGAUCCAACCAGUCCAUCCUAAAGGAGAUCGGUCCUGGGUGUUCAUUGGAAGGACUGAUGUUGAAGCUGAAACUCCAAUACUUUGGCUACCUGAUGUGAAGAGCUGACUCACUUGAAAAGACCCCGAUGCUGGGAGGAAUUGAAGGCAGAAUAAGGGGAUGACAGAGGAUGAGAUGGCUGGAUGGCAUCACCGACUCGAUGGACAUGGGUUUGGGUGGACUCUGGGAGUUGGUGAUGGACAGGGAGGCCUGGCAUGCUGCGGUUCAUGGGGUUGCAAAGAGCUGGACACAACUAGUGACUGAACAGAACUGAGUAUUCCAGUUUUAAAAAUCAAUUUUAGAGAAAUAUAGAUAUUUCAAUUUCUUGAACUCUUUUGCUAACUGACACCAAAUUUUACCUGGGGACAUCUUUAAAAUGUCCUCUAAUUAUUUGAUCUCUACUUACUUCUUCAUUGAACAUGUUAUAUUUUUUCUUCUGUACUAAUUUAACAUUUUAGUGGCAACUAUGUUUCAUGCUUUUUACAAGUUGUUCAUCAAGUCAACCUUGAUACUGAAUUUAUCUGAGGUUUAUACUAAUCCCCCUCAUCUACUUCUGUUGUUUUUUCCUCUUGUCUUUAAGGUCCUCUUUCAUUAAAUGGAAGUUUUUGUUGGUGUUUCUAUUGCGGUGAGACUUGAGGAGAUCUAAUUAAAAAUAAAACCUCCUCCGAACUCAGAAAACUCCUCCAAAACAUUGAGGAUAAAGAAUGUCUUACUAUUGAAUAAAUAUUAAAACAGAAUGACAAUAGGAUAACAAUAGUAGGUAACCUUUCCCAAUAUUUGCCAUGUUCCCCACUCAAAGCUAAUUGGCUGACAUUCAGCAGUGCAUUUAGUUCUCAUAAAAUCUUUAUAAGGUGAUUUUUAAAAAAUUCUCAUUUUACAAUGAGGCUCAGAAAUAAGAGUAACAUAUAUUGUCACACAACUGGUGGAGACUGCAUUUAAGCUUAGGUUUCUCCAACUCUAGAAAGCCUAUUCUCACCACUUUGUCUUAUUGCUUUCUUCCUUCCAAAGUUGUUUAUGAUACAUCAGUAAUACAACUUACAUUAGAAUAUAUAAAUAUAAAAACAGCAUUGUUGGGGGCCAGCGUGAGGUACUCUGCCCAUGGCAAAGGUCAUGAGGAAGGAGGCUCGACAUACGCAAAGGCGGGAUCCAGCCUCAGGAGUCCCCCUGGAAAUCCUCGAGCAUCUACCCCCAUAACCAGAGCCUGCCUACUUUACUACUUUGUGCUCUACACCUCUGACUUUAAGGGGAGCUGUCCCCCACCACCUCUUUCGGAGAAGGAGUUAACUUAGAGCUCCAGUUAAUAAUAAUUCCUGGGCGUGAUAAGAGUGUUUUAACCUACAAACUCCUCUGAAGGUUCUCUAGCCUGCCUGACAGGCUUGUCCGGCCACAUGUGAUUGCUCACAGCCUCCCAACCAUCAGAGGCAUGAGAUGCUUUAAACCUUCUAAAACCAGGUUCUUUAGAGAAGUUAGAAAAUUAUUAGUAUAAGUAUAGUGGGCUGAUUAGAAAUUGUAUUGGUGAAGGGUUUUUCAUUUGUUGAGCCAAUGUUUACUGCUAAGUCUCCACUUCCCCUGCCCUUAUACACAUUAAUGAAUAUAUAGAAGAAAUAAGUAUUAACCUUUGAUAUAAAUCACGUUAGACCUUAGGCCAAGUAAAUUCUUUCCUUAACUAAAACCCACUACACCC